rnacentral:rRNA from 1 species
AGCGAACGCUGGCGGCAGGCUUAACACAUGCAAGCCGAACGCCCCGCAAGGGGAGUGGCAGACGGGUGAGUAACACGUGGGAACGUGCGCUUUGGUUCGGAAUAACUUGGGGAAACUCAAGCUAAUAUCGGCUAAGCCCUUACGGGGCACGGUUUACUGCCGAAGGAUCGGCCCGCGUCUGAUUAGCUAGUUGGUGAGGUAAUGGCUCACCAAGGCAACGAUCAGUAGCUGGUCUGAGAGGGUGAUCAGACACACGUGAACUGAGACACGGCCCCGACUCCUACGGGAGGCCGCAGUGGGGAAUAUUGGACAAUGGGGGCAACCCUGAUCCAGCCAUGCCGCGUGAGUGAUGAAGGCCUUAGGGUUGUAAAGCUCUUUUACCCGGGACGAUAAUGACUGUACCGGGAGAAUAAGCCCCGGCUAACUUCGUGCCAGCCGCCGCGGUAA